UAAUGGGGAGGCCAGAGAGGAGGACAAGACAGUGUAAUUCCUCUCCAGCGCCACCAGGAGAAUACUUAACGUUCCCCGGUGUCACUGUGCCCAGCUCGGAGCAGGAAAUACCACUGUUCGCUGCUGAUCACGUGACUGCCAGGGAUGAGAUAGAAUGGUAAUAGCAUUAUCAUGCUAUUCUACAACCACUAUCUCCCUCUGCCCUUGUGGGUUUAAGUGGCCCUUUGUUGCUGUAGCUCAUAUGUUGGAUGGGUGUGUGAGAGCAGCAGAGAUGGUCCACGUGCCUGACCCCUGAACUGUGGCCAUGAGUCCUCCCUCCAUGUGUAAUUCCCCGGGCUGUGAUGGACAGAAUGUGCAGAAGAAGAGAGCUGGCCCACAUGUCCUUCACUCUCGACAAGGAAAAGGUGAAUCUUUGUAUAAUACACGGACAUACUGAGGACAUCCAGUGGAGGCACAUUGAAGGUUUGACAGCAAUCUUGAUGGUCCGCUGUAAUGUGAAUCCUCUAUAAGAUCUAUUCUUUUAGUAGCUUGUAACUGUAAUUAUGUUCUGAGGUAACAAUAUGUUUUAUGGAGGAAUAAGUCAUCCUAUUUUAUAGUGUGUGUUAGUUGUCCUUAAUGUAAUCUCUCUGCGCUCUCAUUACAAUAAAAA